AAUCCAUAGGUUAAUGAGGCGAACCGGGGGAACUGAAACAUCUAAGUACCCCGAGGAAAAGAAAUCAACCGAGAUUCCCCCAGUAGCGGCGAGCGAACGGGGAGGAGCCCAGAGCCUGAAUCAGCAUGUGUGUUAGUGGAAGCGUCUGGAAAGGCGCGCGAUACAGGGUGACAGCCCCGUACACAAAAGCGCAUGUGCUGUGAGCUCGAUGAGUAGGGCGGGACACGUGGUAUCCUGUCUGAAUAUGGGGGGACCAUCCUCCAAGGCUAAAUACUCCUGACUGACCGAUAGUGAACCAGUACCGUGAGGGAAAGGCGAAAAGAACCCCGGCGAGGGGAGUGAAAAAGAACCUGAAACCGUGUACGUACAAGCAGUGGGAGCACCCUUUGGGGUGUGACUGCGUACCUUUUGUAUAAUGGGUCAGCGACUUAUAUUCUGUAGCAAGGUUAACCGUAUAGGGGAGCCGGAGGGAAACCGAGUCUUAAUUGGGCGUUAAGUUGCAGGGUAUAGACCCGAAACCCGGUGAUCUAGCCAUGGGCAGGUUGAAGGUUGGGUAACACUAACUGGAGGACCGAACCGACUAAUGUUGAAAAAUUAGCGGAUGACCUGUGGCUGGGGGUGAAAGGCCAAUCAAACCGGGAGAUAGCUGGUUCUCCCCGAAAGCUAUUUAGGUAGCGCCUCGUGAAUUCAUCUCCGGGGGUAGAGCACUGUUUCGGCUAGGGGGCCAUCCCGGCUUACCAACCCGAUGCAAACUGCGAAUACCGGAGAAUGUUAUCACGGGAGACACACGGCGGGUGCUAACGUCCGUCGUGAAGAGGGAAACAACCCAGACCGCCAGCUAAGGUCCCAAAGUCAUGGUUAAGUGGGAAACGAUGUGGGAAGGCCCAGACAGCCAGGAUGUUGGCUUAGAAGCAGCCAUCAUUUAAAGAAAGCGUAAUAGCUCACUGGUCGAGUCGGCCUGCGCGGAAGAUGUAACGGGGCUAAACCAUGCACCGAAGCUGCGGCAGCGAACGUAUCACCCAAGACAACUUUGCGGAGUUGACGAUUGACGGAGCGAAGCGACGUCAAAGCGUUCAUUAAAGUCGAGUUGGCUUAGGGAUACGUUCGUUGGGUAGGGGAGCGUUCUGUAAGCCUGUGAAGGUGGCCUGUGAGGGUUGCUGGAGGUAUCAGAAGUGCGAAUGCUGACAUAAGUAACGAUAAAGCGGGUGAAAAGCCCGCUCGCCGGAAGACCAAGGGUUCCUGUCCAACGUUAAUCGGGGCAGGGUGAGUCGACCCCUAAGGCGAGGCCGAAAGGCGUAGUCGAUGGGAAACGGGUUAAUAUUCCCGUACUUGGUGUUACUGCGAAGGGGGGACGGAGAAGGCUAUGUUGGCCGGGCGACGGUUGUCCCGGUUUAAGCGUGUAGGUGUGUGUUCCAGGUAAAUCCGGUUCACUUUAACACUGAGGCGUGACGACGAGGCACUACGGUGCUGAAGCAACAAAUGCCCUGCUUCCAGGAAAAGCCUCUAAGCAUCAGGUAACAUCAAAUCGUACCCCAAACCGACACAGGUGGUCAGGUAGAGAAUACCAAGGCGCUUGAGAGAACUCGGGUGAAGGAACUAGGCAAAAUGGUGCCGUAACUUCGGGAGAAGGCACGCUGACACGUAGGUGAAGUGAUUUACUCAUGGAGCUGAAGUCAGUCGAAGAUACCAGCUGGCUGCAACUGUUUAUUAAAAACACAGCACUGUGCAAACACGAAAGUGGACGUAUACGGUGUGACGCCUGCCCGGUGCCGGAAGGUUAAUUGAUGGGGUCAGCGCAAGCGAAGCUCCUGAUCGAAGCCCCGGUAAACGGCGGCCGUAACUAUAACGGUCCUAAGGUAGCGAAAUUCCUUGUCGGGUAAGUUCCGACCUGCACGAAUGGCGUAAUGAUGGCCAGGCUGUCUCCACCCGAGACUCAGUGAAAUUGAACUCGCUGUGAAGAUGCAGUGUACCCGCGGCAAGACGGAAAGACCCCGUGAACCUUUACUAUAGCUUGACACUGAACAUUGAGCCUUGAUGUGUAGGAUAGGUGGGAGGCUUUGAAGUGUGGACGCCAGUCUGCAUGGAGCCGACCUUGAAAUACCACCCUUUAAUGUUUGAUGUUCUAACGUGGACCCGUUACCCGGGUUGCGGACAGUGUCUGGUGGGUAGUUUGACUGGGGCGGUCUCCUCCUAAAGAGUAACGGAGGAGCACGAAGGUUGGCUAAUCCUGGUCGGACAUCAGGAGGUUAGUGCAAUGGCAUAAGCCAGCUUGACUGCGAGCGUGACGGCGCGAGCAGGUGCGAAAGCAGGUCAUAGUGAUCCGGUGGUUCUGAAUGGAAGGGCCAUCGCUCAACGGAUAAAAGGUACUCCGGGGAUAACAGGCUGAUACCGCCCAAGAGUUCAUAUCGACGGCGGUGUUUGGCACCUCGAUGUCGGCUCAUCACAUCCUGGGGCUGAAGUAGGUCCCAAGGGUAUGGCUGUUCGCCAUUUAAAGUGGUACGCGAGCUGGGUUUAGAACGUCGUGAGACAGUUCGGUCCCUAUCUGCCGUGGGCGCUGGAGAACUGAGGGGGGCUGCUCCUAGUACGAGAGGACCGGAGUGGACGCAUCACUGGUGUUCGGGUUGUCAUGCCAAUGGCACUGCCCGGUAGCUAAAUGCGGAAGAGAUAAGUGCUGAAAGCAUCUAAGCACGAAACUUGCCCCGA
rnacentral:rRNA from 1 species